rnacentral:rRNA from 1 species
UACGUAGGGGGCUAGCGUUGUCCGGAAUCAUUGGGCGUAAAGAGCGUGUAGGCGGCUCGGUAAGUCCGCUGUAAAAGUCAAAGGCUCAACCUUUGAAUGUCAGUGGAUACUGCCGGGCUAGAGUCCGGAAGAGGCGAGUGGAACUCCUGGUGUAGCGGUGGAAUGCGCAGAUAUCAGGAGGAACACCGGUGGCGAAGGCGGGAUCCUGGGCCAGUACUGACGCUGAGGAGCGAAAGCGUGGGGAGCGAACAGG